CAGCCAUACCAUGCUGAAAAUAUCGGUUCUCGUUAGAUGACUGAAGUCAAACAUCAUUGGUCGCGGUCAGUACCUGGGUGGGUGACCACCUGGGAACACCGCGUGCAGU
rnacentral:rRNA from 1 species